rnacentral:rRNA from 1 species
CCUACGGGAGGCAGCAGUGGGGGAUAUUGGACAAUGGGGGGAACCCUGAUCCAGCGACGCCGCGUGAGUGAAGAAGUAUUUCGGUAUGUAAAGCUCUGUCAGCAGGGAAGAAAGCAAUGACGGUACCUGAACAAGAAGCCCCGGCUAACUACGUGCCAGCAGCCGCGGUAAUACGUAGGGGGCAAGCGUUAUCCGGAAUUACUGGGUGUAAAGGGAGCGUAGACGGCUGUGCAAGUCUGGAGUGAAAGGCGGGGGCUCAACCCGCGGACUGCUCUGGAAACUGGAUGGCUGGAGUGCAGGAGAGGUAAGCGGAAUUCCGAGUGUAGCGGUGAAAUGCGUAGAUAGUAGGAGGAACACCAGUGGCGAAGGCGGCUUACUGGACUGUAACUGACGUUGAGGCUCGAAAGCGUGGGGAGCAAACAGGAUUAGAUACCCGUGUAGUC